UAUCAUUUAAGCAGUCUGCGUAAGGUUUAGGACCUUAAGGGGGUUCGAUACCAAAUGAUAU
rnacentral:tRNA from 1 species